AAGAACAGGGGGAGACGAGAUUGAAGACCCCGGGCCAGGCAGAUGGGAGCCAGCCAUCUGGAAGGUCUGCCCCCAAUCCAAUGUCCCCCAAGGACCCCCAGGGCUCAGGGAAGAAACAGGGCCUGUCACCAUUUUGGCGUGCUUGUUCCCGAGUGGGGAGGCUCAGAGGUGGGCAGGGGGCCCCGUCAGGUGUGUCUGCAGCACACUGUGGAGACCCCACAUGGCAGCCCGUCCACUCUGAGCCUGGCAGCGUGAAGACACGCCCUGUCACAGCCCCACGUGGAGGAGGCACCAGUCAACAGCAUCUCUGUAAAUCUGAUCCUUUUUCUCUACUUCGCCUUAUUUUCCGACUGCACUCAGCCAAGGAAGUUAACCCUUGUGCUCAGGCUCCUCUGCCUCAGGCCUGUCAGCCAGGCAGCUGAUGCUCUGAUAGAAACAUCUCCCUGAGGAGGGGCUCAGGAGGGGCCCAGACUGCGGCCAACGACAAGUUAGGUUUAUAUAUAGCAAAUUCUCCUAAAGUCAGCUCAUUCAUGUAUUCAACCAGCCUUCGCUCUGUGCCUACGACGUGGCAGGCACCACGCUAGGUACUGAGAUACAAAGAUUCAUUCAUUUUUCAUUUAAUAAUUAUUUAUUGAGUGCCCGCUGUGUGCGAGGCAUCUGCCACGGGUCUUCUUUGAUCAGGAGAGACGUGGCCCCAGAGCUCCGGGUCAGGAGCAAGAUAAACAUUUCAACAGACCUUCACAAUCAGAACAGGAUGCAGGGGAGGCACCAGGAGCUGUGGGAGAAUGGAGGUGGGGGUGGGGAGCACGGAUCCGGGAUGGAAAGCCCCUCAGGUCCCUUAUGAACUGAGCAAAUGAACAGAGCAGGCUUCAGGCGUUCAUUGCACAAGUCUUUAUUGAGCACCGGAUGUGUGCAAAGCAGCCUCGAGGGCAUUUAAGGUGACCACGCUACAGUCCCAGACUGGGACAAACGGACACCAUUUACAGAAGAAGUGAAGUCAGCUCAGAAAGGCAACGUUGAGUGUGCUUUGGGUUUUAAAAUGGAGUGGGAGACCCCGGAGGGGCUUCCUAAUGGCACCACCUGGGCUGUAGACCUCUUUCCCCAAACUUCCCUGCACUGACCACUUGCCACGGGGCAGUACAGAUGUGUGUUUGAACGGUGUCCACCUGCCCUGACGCUCUACGGCUCCUGAGGGCAGCGCCCACAGCAGGUUCCUCUUUGCAGCCCCGCAGCACAAGCCCAGAGCUGCGGCUACAGCCACCCCAAACACCCAGCGAUGGCACUGAACACACACAAAACCUCGGACCGAAGCUUGGAAGAGGGAGCAAGAGCUGGGAGGCUAAAGGUCACUGAUGCCACAGGUGAGGAUGUGGUCACCAAAGGUCGUGCAAGAUGAGAGGCAAGCAGGGAGGACAGCUGGCUCUGGGGGGGACGGCAGCCAGGGAAGGAAGGUCAGAGAGGUGGUGGGAGCAGCAGGCAGGCACAGAGCCCUCAGAGGCGACUGGAGAGUGAGCGGGAAGCAGAGGAUGGUCAAUCCCCAGAGAACGACGCCACAGAGAGGUUGAACCGGAAGCCAGCCCCUGGGGGCUCUUGAACGGGGAAAAUCAGUGCAGCAGGGCAGAGGGCAGACCUGGGAGAGCCCACGGGGCGGACAGGGCCUAGAGGAAGCAGCCACUUCCUUCUCUUUGGGGGAGUUUGGCUAGGAUGGGAAGGAGAGGAUGAAUCAAGAGCAUGUGGUAUUCAGAACAGGAGAGAUUGGAGCAUGCUGGGUCGACAGAGCGGCAGGAAUGACUGAAACAUCGAGAGGCAAAAGAAGUAAGAGUACAGGGACAGGUGGCCCCAAGAGCUGGUCACCACAGUCCUGGAAGAAUGCCAGGCUCUUGGCUAGGGAGUCGCGGUCUCUGCCUUCCUUGCGUCUCCUGGGGUUAGUCUCAGUGGGACAUGGGCAGGACUGCAGCCCAAAGGACAGGGCGGGGGCAAAUCCAAAUAUGUGGGCCGGCUCCACUGAGGAACUGGAGGUGGACCAGUGCGGAGUGGAAGGAACCCGGGGGAGCGGCCAGACUCCCUCUUCUCCAGGCUGCUUGGCACAGAGCUGGCCACACAACCAACCCCGAGGACCGGCUGCCCAAAGGGCGAGGAGAGAGACAGGCUCCACCUGCAUGCCGAGCUGCUGGGGAGAGGUGGCAUUUUCCUCCGGAGGCUGCAGCAGUAACCCCGCUCCAGGGUGCGGAAGGAGGAGAAAGAAAGCAGCUCAGCAGCCGGCCCAGCGCAGCGGACGGUUCCACAGACAAUCCGAGCAGCGUGGGCACUCUGCUGCUCCUUGCCGGUCAGGGGAUGGCCCAGGAGGAGCAAGAAGGGGACUGGAGGGGCGUGCAGCUCCAGGAGGGUUCUUUCCUGCUGCUGCCCAGGCACACGGGCUGGCGGUCAAGAAUCUCAACCGGACACAGAGCCUGGUUCUGGGCCCGGAUUGUUCUGGAUGCCAGACUAGGACACUCACAGUGCCCCUGCUGGACCUGGGCUAGUGUGUGUUUUGUUUUCUAGCUGAGACAGAUGCUGAGUGAAGGCCCAGUGGAGAAUAGAUGUCACUCUCCUGGGAUGGUUCCUUGGAGUUAGAGAUUUCCAGCUAAGAACCCUGGGGCACCCCCUCCAUGGGACAGGCGGCCAUACAUUGUGAGUUACUUUAUCCGAGUCCCCUUGCCUGCCUCUCCAGACAGCAGUGGUCAGGGCGUGGCAAGGAUGGAUGAGGGUGAAGUUUCUCUAGGUGCCAGACUGAGUCUCUCCCUUUAUCACAGUCCCUGUUCUUUGACUGGAGGCGGGUGGUGUCUGUCUUUGCAGUCCUGAUGGAACCGGGGGCCCUGUCUCCCUUCCUGGCUCGUACAUUGACAUUAACGGCAGGUUCCUUCUGCCAAAGCCAAAGCCAGAUUUUUAAAUUAAUAAUAACAUUUAUUGUUCUUUUUCUCUGAUUACAAAAGUAAUAGAUGUUCAUUGUAACCAUUGUCCCACCCACUAGAGAUAAAUGCUGCCAACAUUUUCAUGUAGUCUUUUUUUUCUAUGCACAUAAUAGCCACCAUUUAUUGCAAGCUAACACGGUGCCAGCCGCUACACAAAGCUCUUUAGAAACAAGAUCCCAUUUAACCCUGAACAGCCCAUGAGGAGGGCACCAUCGUAUCCCCAAUUUUUCAGGAGAGGAAACUGAGGCUCCGGAAGCACAUUCACAAACCCAGUGUGUGAUACAGCCGAGAUGUGAACCCACAGGUGUGUGUGUGUACGUACGUACACGCAACAUCUGGUACUAUCCUAUGUAUGUGGGUGCCAGAGUUUAUUAAGAUCAAAGCGCCAGUGAAAGAAAAAGAAAAUUGAGGCAUUAGGAAGAGGAAUUUUCGUAAUUCUAGCAAAACUCUAAUGAAAUGUGAAACAAAUUGCUUCAUGACUGUUGGAAUUUAUUAAAGAUUGCACAAUGUCACCAGGAA